UACGGAGGGGGCUAGCGUUGUUCGGAAUUACUGGGCGUAAAGCGCGCGUAGGCGGACCUGCAAGUCGGGGGUGAAAGCCCGAGGCUCAACCUCGGAACUGCCUUCGAUACUGCGGGUCUCGAGUCCGGGAGAGGUGAGUGGAAUUCCUAGUGUAGCGGUGAAAUGCGUAGAUAUUGGGAGGAACACCUGAGGCGAAGGCGGGCUACUGGGCUGAUACUGACGCUGAGGCGCGAAAGCUAGGGGAGCAAACAGG
rnacentral:rRNA from 1 species